rnacentral:rRNA from 1 species
UACAGAGGUCUCAAGCGUUGUUCGGAUUCAUUGGGCGUAAAGGGUGCGUAGGCGGCGCGGUAAGUCGGGUGUGAAAUCUCGGGGCUUAACUCCGAAACUGCAUUCGAUACUGCCGUGCUUGAGGACUGGAGAGGAGACUGGAAUUUACGGUGUAGCGGUGAAAUGCGUAGAUAUCGUAAGGAAGACCAGUGGCGAAGGCGGGUCUCUGGACAGUUCCUGACGCUGAGGCACGAAGGUCAGGGGAGCAAAUGGG